GACGAACGCUGGCGGCGUGCUUAACACAUGCAAGUCGAACGAAGAGCGAUGGAAGCUUGCUUCUAUCAAUCUUAGUGGCGAACGGGUGAGUAACGCGUAAUCAACCUGCCCUUCAGAGGGGGACAACAGUUGGAAACGACUGCUAAUACCGCAUACGAUCUAAUCUCGGCAUCGAGGAUAGAUGAAAGGUGGCCUCUACAUGUAAGCUAUCACUGAAGGAGGGGAUUGCGUCUGAUUAGCUAGUUGGAGGGGUAACGGCCCACCAAGGCGAUGAUCAGUAGCCGGUCUGAGAGGAUGAACGGCCACAUUGGGACUGAGACACGGCCCAGACUCCUACGGGAGGCAGCAGUGGGGAAUCUUCCGCAAUGGACGAAAGUCUGACGGAGCAACGCCGCGUGAGUGAUGACGGCCUUCGGGUUGUAAAGCUCUGUUAAUCGGGACGAAAGGCCUUCUUGCGAAUAGGGAGAAGGAUUGACGGUACCGGAAUAGAAAGCCGCGGCUAACUACGUG
rnacentral:rRNA from 1 species